UACGGAGGGUGCGAGCGUUAAUCGGAAUCACUGGGCGUAAAGCGCGCGUAGGCGGCUUUUCAAGUCAGGGGUGAAAUCCCACGGCCCAACCGUGGAACUGCCUUUGAAACUGUAGAGCUUGAGUGUCGGAGAGGGUGGCGGAAUUCCAGGUGUAGGAGUGUAAUCCGUAGAUAUCUGGAGGAACACCGGUGGCGAAGGCGGCCACCUGGACGACAACUGACGCUGAGGUGCGAAAGCGUGGGUAGCAAACAGG
rnacentral:rRNA from 1 species